rnacentral:snRNA from 1 species
UGUCAUGAUAUUGUGAGU